rnacentral:lncRNA from 1 species
UGAGGUCAUUUGUUAGAAGAGCCCACUAAUCCCAUCAUGAGGCAAAAUGGCCUCACCUACUAUCAUUACUUUUGGAGGUUAACAUUUUAACACGAAUUUUGGAAGAACACAAACAUUCAGACCACAGCACUGCUUUAAAGAAAAUUCCUCUGCAUGUCUUCUGAAGAAUUGGCUGUAGAGUAGGCAAGAGAAGUUGCAAGCAAUCCAAUCAUAACAUAGUACAGUCUUUGGAAUAGACAUGGUGGCCUGAGAAAGGUAUGGUUUGCAGCUAAGUGGAGAUAACAUGGAUGUAUGUUUUGGAGGUAAAAGUCAGUCAGGCUGAUUCCUAUCAGAGACAUCAGAGGCAAACUACUUUGAACAACAAGGAGGCUUUUAAGAAUUUUAAGGUAAUGCUAAAGACAUAUCAUAGGUCAUUGUAUUUAAUCACUGAAAAUUGUAAAGGUCAUUCCAGUCUGUAAACAUCAUUAUGAUGCAUUUU